UCUGCCGUAUCUGAAUCCCCUCGGCGCCCACCCCCCGCCCCCCGCCGGCCCUGCGGUUGGAGCGCAAAGGGGCCCCAGCCCGCACGGCCGCCCUGCGUCUAUCGGUCCUUCUGCAAACCCGGCGGGGCCCGGCCGACGCGCCGCUUGGCUCCUUGGCUAAACCCGGUUCGCAGCGCACGUUUUUAUGGAAACCGGGUCUGGUCUGAACCCUGGGUCCGGUCCGCUCCGCGGCGGGGGUGCGGGCGCCACCUGCUGCCUGCGCCGGGGGUCGCGACAAAGCGGGGCUGGAAAGACAGACGGACGAACGCACGGGACCCGGAACUGCGGCAACCCCGCACCUAAUCCACGUCUUUUCUCAGAACCUGGAAGAAUACUGAAAACUCAAUCAGAGAAAUAAGCCCAGAAGACCCCACUAGUGGUCUCCUCUCUCAGUCUAAAGAAGACAAAAGUGCCUCUGAAAGAACACGUGAAUAGCUGAGACCUUUUCAAAGACAUCCAAAAAUUCCAGCUUCCACAGUCAUUGAUUCUAAACUCUUAGAAUCUCAUCCUGGGCUGGUGUCGUGACUGUGACUUCUCUGAAAGGACUCCACGCACACCCUGUUACCCCUUUCUCCCCUGUCCCCUGAAACCCUCCCUGCAGGGAGACUCUGAACUCAGACCUAAAUUGAAGAGACUCUGCCCCUUG